AUGGCUGUUGUGUGUGCCUUCGCUCCCUUUUCACUUGCGCUAGACCCCCAAAAUGGCGGAUGGGGCCAAAAUCCUUUCCACGCCCACCCCCGUGACAUCACGCUCCAAAGCCCUAUGGUGAAAAGGAACCCCCCCGCGAAGAAGGUGAUAAGGGUGUGGUCUGAGGAAUGCACUGAGGCCCUAAGAGACUGUUUUGAAUGCACAGACUGGCAGGAACUCUGCAAGCCUCACGGUGAGGACAUCGACGCCCUCACCCACUGCAUCACGGACUACAUUAAUUUCUGUGUUGAGAACACUGUGCCUACCAAGAAGAUACAGUGUUUCUCAAACAAUAAACCGUGGGUCACCCCAGAACUGAAGGCCCUGCUGAACAAGAAGAAGAGUGCUUUCUGGUCGGGAGACAAGGAGGAACUUAAGAAAGUCCAAAAGGAUCUUAAAUACAAGAUCCGAGAAGGCAAGGAGUGCUUCAGGAGGAAGAUGGAAAGCCAACUCCAACAGAAAAACGUCAGAGAAGUCUGGAGGAACAUGAAAAAAAUCUCUGGAUACUUCCAGGACAAUGGAGGAGCCACAGUGUCUGCUGGCCGGGGGUGGGCUAACGACUUGAAUCUGUUUUUUAACAGAUUUGACAAUGGCCCACUUAUCACCUUUCCCACCCCCCAGGUUCCAUUGAUCAGGAAUACAGGGGGGGUGAUCAGUGACUUUGUUGGCUGGUGUGAGACCAACGUACUCCAAAUCAACGCCGGCAAGACAAAGGAGAUGAUCAUAGACUUCAGGAGGAAGUCACCCCCUACAACACCGGUGAACAUCAAAGGGAAAGACAUUGAGAUAGUGGACUCUUAUAAGUACCUGGGUGUUCACCUCAACAAUAAACUGGAGUGGACUACAAAUACAGACAUCCUGUAUAAGAAGGGCCAGAGACGACUCCACCUGCUGAGGAGACUGAGGUCCUUCGGAGUCUGCAGGACUCUGUUAAGGACACUCUAUGACACUGUGGUAGCAUCUGCCCUUUUCUAUGCAGUGGCCUGCUGGGGGAGUGGAUGCACAGACAGGGACAGGAGCAGGAUUGACAAACUGGUGCGGAGGUCUACCUCCGUGCUGGGAGGUCCCCUGGAGUCUGUGGGGGUGGUUGGCGAGAGGAGGAUGUUAGUAAAGCUGACAUCCAUCAUGAACAACCCACAUCACCCACUGCAUGAGUAUGUGAGUGGGCUGAGCAGCUGCCUUAGUCAGAGACUGAAACACCCUCGCUGCAGGAAGGAGCGCUUUCGCAGAUUGUUCAUCCCAACAGCAGUUAGACUCUAUAACUCCUCAAUCACGAUGUCAUAA
rnacentral:lncRNA from 1 species